rnacentral:rRNA from 1 species
UAAACUCCUGUUGUUGAGGAAGAUAAUGACGGUACUCAACAAGGAAGUGACGGCUAACUACGUGCCAGCAGCCGCGGUAAAACGUAGGUCACAAGCGUUGUCCGGAAUUACUGGGUGUAAAGGGAGCGCAGGCGGGAGAACAAGUUGGAAGUGAAAUCCAUGGGCUCAACCCAUGAACUGCUUUCAAAACUGUUUUUCUUGAGUAGUGCAGAGGUAGGCGGAAUUCCCGGUGUAGCGGUGGAAUGCGUAGAUAUCGGGAGGAACACCAGUGGCGAAGGCGGCCUACUGGGCACCAACUGACGCUGAGGCUCGAAAGUGUGGGUAGCAAACAGGAUUAGAUACCCUGGUAGUCCACACCGUAAACGAUGAUUACUAGGUGUUGGAGGAUUGACCCCUUCAGUGCCGCAGUUAACACAAUAAGUAAUCCACCUGGGGAGUACGACCGCAAGGUUGAAACUCAAAGGAAUUGACGGGGGCCCGCACAAGCAGUGGAGUAUGUGGUUUAAUUCGACGCAACGCGAAGAACCUUACCAAGUCUUGACAUCCCUUGACGAACAUAGAAAUAUGUUUUCUCUUCGGAGCAAGGAGACAGGUGGUGCAUGGUUGUCGUCAGCUCGUGUCGUGAGAUGUUGGGUUAAGUCCCGCAACGAGCGCAACCCUUAUGGUCAGUUACUACGCAAGAGGACUCUGGCCAGACUGCCGUUGACAAA